CCUACGGGAGGCAGCAGUGAGGAAUAUUGGUCAAUGGACGAGAGUCUGAACCAGCCAAGUAGCGUGAAGGAUGACUGCCCUAUGGGUGGUAAACUUCUUUUAUAUGGGAAUAAAAUGUUCAACGAGUGGGAUUUUGUAUGUACCAUAUGAAUAAGGAUCGGCUAACUCCGUGCCAGCAGCCGCGGUAAUACGGAGGAUCCGAGCGUUAUCCGGAUUUAUUGGGUUUAAAGGGAGCGUAUGUGGAUUGUUAAGUCAGUUGUGAAAGUUUGCGGCUCAACCGUAAAAUUGCAGUUGAAACUGGCAGUCUUGAGUACAGUAGAGGUGGGCGGAAUUCGUGGUGUAGCGGUGAAAUGCUUAGAUAUCACGAAGAACUCCGAUUGCGAAGGCAGCUCACUGGACUGCAACUGACACUGAGGCUCGAAAGUGUGGGUAUCAAACAGGAUUAGAUACCCGAGUAGUC
rnacentral:rRNA from 1 species